AGGGCGCACGGUGGAUGCCUUGACACUAGGAGUCGAUGAAGGACGGGACUAACGCCGAUAUGCUUCGGGGAGCUGUAAGUAAGCUUUGAUCCGAAGAUUUCCGAAUGGGGAAACCCACCAUACGUAAUGGUAUGGUAUCCUUAUCUGAAUACAUAGGGUAAGGAAGACAGACCCAGGGAACUGAAACAUCUAAGUACCUGGAGGAAGAGAAAGCAAAUGCGAUUUCCUGAGUAGCGGCGAGCGAAACGGAACAUAGCCCAAACCAAGAGGCUUGCCUCUUGGGGUUGUAGGACAUUCUAUACGGAGUUACAAAGGAACGAGGUAGACGAAGCGACCUGGAAAGGUCCGUCGUAGAGGGUAACAACCCCGUAGUCGAAACUUCGUUCUCUCUUGAAUGUAUCCUGAGUACGGCGGAACACGUGAAAUUCCGUCGGAAUCUGGGAGGACCAUCUCCCAAGGCUAAAUACUCCCUAGUGAUCGAUAGUGAACCAGUACCGUGAGGGAAAGGUGAAAAGCACCCCGGAAGGGGAGUGAAAGAGAUCCUGAAACCGUGUGCCUACAAAUAGUCAGAGCCCGUUAAUGGUGAUGUGCCUUUUGUAGAAUGAACCGGCGAGUUACGAUCCCGUGCGAGGUUAAGCUGAAGAGGCGGAGCCGCAGCGAAAGCGAGUCUGAAUAGGGCGUUUAGUACGUGGUCGUAGACCCGAAACCAGGUGAUCUACCCAUGUCCAGGGUGAAGUUCAGGUAACACUGAAUGGAGGCCCGCACGCACGUUGAAAAGUGCGGGGAUGAGGUGUGGGUAGCGGAGAAAUUCCAAUCGAACCUGGAGAUAGCUGGUUCUCCCCGAAAUAGCUUUAGGGCUAGCCUUAAGUGUAAGAGUCUUGGAGGUAGAGCACUGAUUGGACUAGGGGUCCUCAUCGGAUUACCGAAUUCAGUCAAACUCCGAAUGCCAAUGACUUAUCCUUAGGAGUCAGACUGCGAGUGAUAAGAUCCGUAGUCAAAAGGGAAACAGCCCAGACCGCCAGCUAAGGUCCCAAAGUGUGUAUUAAGUGGAAAAGGAUGUGGAGUUGCUUAGACAACUAGGAUGUUGGCUUAGAAGCAGCCACCAUUUAAAGAGUGCGUAAUAGCUCACUAGUCGAGUGACUCUGCGCCGAAAAUGUACCGGGGCUAAAUACACCACCGAAGCUGCGGAUUGAUACCAAUGGUAUCAGUGGUAGGGGAGCGUUCUAAGGACAGUGAAGUCAGACCGGAAGGACUGGUGGAGUGCUUAGAAGUGAGAAUGCCGGUAUGAGUAGCGAAAGACGGGUGAGAAUCCCGUCCACCGAAUGCCUAAGGUUUCCUGAGGAAGGCUCGUCCGCUCAGGGUUAGUCAGGACCUAAGCCGAGGCCGACAGGCGUAGGCGAUGGACAACAGGUUGAUAUUCCUGUACCACCUCUUUAUCGUUUGAGCAAUGGAGGGACGCAGAAGGAUAGAAGAAGCGUGCGAUUGGUUGUGCACGUCCAAGCAGUUAGGCUGAUAAGUAGGCAAAUCCGCUUAUCGUGAAGGCUGAGCUGUGAUGGGGAAGCUCCUUAUGGAGCGAAGUCUUUGAUUCCCCGCUGCCAAGAAAAGCUUCUAGCGAGAUAAAGGUGCCUGUACCGCAAACCGACACAGGUAGGCGAGGAGAGAAUCCUAAGGUGUGCGAGAGAACUCUGGUUAAGGAACUCGGCAAAAUGACCCCGUAACUUCGGGAGAAGGGUGCUUUCUUAACGGAAAGCCGCAGUGAAUAGGCCCAAGCGACUGUUUAGCAAAACACAGCUCUCUGCGAAGCCGUAAGGCGAAGUAUAGGGGGUACACCUGCCCGGUGCUGGAAGGUUAAGGAGAGGGGUUAGCGUAAGCGAAGCUCUGAACUGAAGCCCCAGUAAACGGCGGCCGUAACUAUAACGGUCCUAAGGUAGCGAAAUUCCUUGUCGGGUAAGUUCCGACCCGCACGAAAGGUGUAACGAUUUGGGCACUGUCUCAACCAGAGACUCGGUGAAAUUAUAGUACCUGUGAAGAUGCAGGUUACCCGCGACAGGACGGAAAGACCCCGUGGAGCUUUACUGUAGCCUGAUAUUGAAUUUUGGUACAGUUUGUACAGGAUAGGCGGGAGCCUUUGAAACCGGAGCGCUAGCUUCGGUGGAGGCGCUGGUGGGAUACCGCCCUGACUGUAUUGAAAUUCUAACCUACGGGUCUUAUCGACCCGGGAGACAGUGUCAGGUGGGCAGUUUGACUGGGGCGGUCGCCUCCUAAAUGUAACGGAGGCGCCCAAAGGUUCCCUCAGAAUGGUUGGAAAUCAUUCGUAGAGUGCAAAGGCAUAAGGGAGCUUGACUGCGAGACCUACAAGUCGAGCAGGGACGAAAGUCGGGCUUAGUGAUCCGGUGGUUCCGCAUGGAAGGGCCAUCGCUCAACGGAUAAAAGCUACCCCGGGGAUAACAGGCUUAUCUCCCCAAGAGUCCACAUCGACGGGGAGGUUUGGCACCUCGAUGUCGGCUCAUCGCAUCCUGGGGCUGUAGUCGGUCCCAAGGGUUGGGCUGUUCGCCCAUUAAAGCGGUACGCGAGCUGGGUUCAGAACGUCGUGAGACAGUUCGGUCCCUAUCCGUCGUGGGCGUAGGAAAUUUGAGAGGAGCUGUCCUUAGUACGAGAGGACCGGGAUGGACGCACCGCUGGUGUACCAGUUGUUCUGCCAAGGGCAUAGCUGGGUAGCUAUGUGCGGAAGGGAUAAGUGCUGAAAGCAUCUAAGCAUGAAGCCCCCCUCAAGAUGAGAUUUCCCAUAGCGUAAGCUAGU
rnacentral:rRNA from 1 species